AUGUUAUUUGGUGAAGAGGACACUGCAACUGGAAAGACCCACCUACAUAAGAGUUUAAUCAUCCGCCAUUUGUCCUGUGAGAUGCCAAGACACCUCCUCAGAUAUCAAUUGGAAGAUAAGCAACAACUCUUUUGGAGUAUGGAUCUAGGUGAUAGAGUGAGGCAUAAUUCAUUAGUGCUGUUGUUACUAUCAGAAGUCAGAUCCAACUCCAAACAUAUAAUGUGCUGGGAUUAA
rnacentral:lncRNA from 1 species